GCGCAAGCGCGGCAAUGGGAGCAGGGCGCCGGGGGCGGGAGGCGGGGGGUCAUACCCCUGGCUGAUUACUUCCAAAUCGUUCCCCUGGCUGAUUACUUCUAACAGUUGUGUAUAAAUAGAACCUCAGAAGAAGGUUAAGUCGAAGAGACAACAGUAAAAGAACGGCAUUCCAGUGGAAUCAAUGAGUAAUUUCAAGGCUCUUGGAAACUCUGUGACACUCCAAGAUCUCGGAAUAAUAAGCAACAGAGAAGAACUUAGAAUUCAGUCUUUGACUUGCAGGUACAGUGAAGAGAGAAGGGAAUGGAGAGAGGCACCGGAGAUUGAAAGUGACUUUACAUAUAUGUUGAUUUAUUUUUUAAAAGUGGGGCUUAUUUAAAGAAGAUAAAUGAGGUCAAAUAUAGGAUGACAGAAGGAGACUGGACUUCAGGUGGUGAGCACAUAACAGAAUAUACAGCUUUGGCCCAGACUCUGAAGAUUCACACGCUGGAAUUGGAGUUCAGCGUGAGAGGUGCCUUAUAACAUUCUGUUCGUGUUGGAGUGAGUUCCAGGAGGCAGUGUAGUGCGCAGUUGGCCCUGCAGGAGGAGCUGGCUUCAGAACGGAGUGAACUUCAGACUUGCAAAUGAGAAACUUCCAGCAGCAGCUCCAGGCCCUGCUGGGAAGAGCUAACAGAGAUGUAACAUUCUGGAUUAUUUUUAGUCUCUUCUCUGCAGCAUUUCAACUUGUGAAAUGAUUAUCAUUAAAGACUUAAGCAUGAAGACAUGUGACAGAUGUUGAGCAUAAUCCAGGGAGCCCUAAAGAUGCAGUCUGGAUUUUAUCGCAAUUUACGUGGGGUGUACAGGAUGCUGCCAUACACUCCCAGGGUCCCGGCUUCGGUGUCGGAAGCACUCACAAGGAGUGUUGAGAGCCCUCCGCUGAGUCUGUCCGCAGGAAUCUCCCUCUGCCAAAGGUACCACUUCAGAGUGCCCAGUUUUCACCGUUUGUGCAGAUGAGACAGACCUGCUGGCAUCUCUUCUUGAUCUUCCAUCGACACGACUUACUUUUUGCCCUGGGGAUUCUCACUUGUCGCUGUGGGAGCCCACUUGGCCUUCACGUAUGUGCAACCUGGAAAUUAAGAAGAGUUAACAUCCAUGGCAUCACCUUGAACCAGUGGAGAAGGGAGAGAGACCAAACACAUCAAUGUUUUCUCCUAGUUUUAAGAUGCAUUUCAUAAGACUCCUGAGUAGUCUUGUUGGUUUGAGCCCUGUCAGUUGCAGCAGCUGGCCAUCUCGAUGAUGCAGCCUUGUACUGGCUUUCCCUCAUUCCCUGACUCACUCCUCCUGGACUUCACUCCUGCUCUAUGGGAUCACAUUUGCACAUCCACAGCGGAUAUGCAAACCUUUGUCUCAGACUCUGCUUUGUUCUGCUUUGGAGGAGCACAGGCUAAGAACAUAGAACAAAACAAUGAGUUUGGACAUUGGUCUAAAACAAAUGCCAGAGUAAUUUGGUAAUUAAUUAUGGUAGAAUAUGGUAGAAUAUGCUAUUUCUACAGGAAUAAAACAACACUGAUUCUCUUUUUAAGUUUAAAAUUGGAAGAUGAGAGGUGUACAGAAGUCUCCACUCUCUGGUCCUAAUGCAAAACUCCUUAAGAUUUUCCUCUGAAGUACGGAAAUAGGAAGCUCUCAGCAGACAGAGCUUAUUGUAGUAAAAAGUUAGUUGGCUUUGAUUAUCAAGAGAAAGAAAGUUCCACACUGUUCCACACUGAGGGAAAUUUGGAACCACUAGUGUGUUUUUUGGUACUCCCAUGCCCAACUGUGAUUGGAGGAGAGGGUAAUGGACAAGUGCAGCAGCCAUGACCUGAUUGCACGGAGACCAAAGACUCAUACCCUCAGAGAUGAGGGUUUGGAUCACCACACUGCUAAGCAGCCUAGACCAACAGAAGUGCAAGCUGAGGGCAUGGAGAAUCUAGAAUAGGUUGUAAAGGUGGCAGAGAUAGGUGUCACUUAUAGCCUUGAGACCAGCUGUGAUGGAGAGGGCCGUAGUUCAUCCCACUAACCUUCAUUUUCUAAGCUCUGCUGGAAAAUGAGACCAAUUAGAAUCCUGAAGAAGAUGUUCCUAAAUGGGGAUGACUUAUUAUUAGAAGCCAGUAGAUCCAAGUUCUUAAAAUAGAGCGGACUGUAGUGGGUACGAUCAUGUGCCAUCUACAUUACCCUCUCAAGAGCCAAUGUGCUCAUUCUCCAACUCUACAUAUAUUGGCUGCUGAUGACUUGAGCUAUGUCGCUUUCCAGGAAUUGCCCUUUGUGGAAGGACACUUUCACUCAAAGUUAUGUGCCUUGCUGGCUGCAGCCGGCAUCUAAUAACGUGUCGGUUGUUUUCAAAGGCUUAACCCCAUGACUCAGCUUGUGACAUCUCUGAACAGCAUCCUGGAUUCAGAUUGAUCCAUGCUGUCCAUGGAUGGCUGGAGCCUUUGGUGUAACUGCACCACAGUUCAACUUCUCUCUGUGAGAUCGUGCUUCUGUCACUUCCUUACAUGGGAUAUUUCCGAGAAGACAGGCCAAUAAGCCUCCCGUAUGUGAAUCUCAGCGUCUGUGUCCAGGAAGUCUGAUGGAAGCCUAUUUUCACAUCGAUUUCCCUGGACAGUUGGGGCGAUUUAAAUUAAUAAUGCCAUGCCACCUUUAGUUUACUAUUUAUUUAAUUUGGAAUAAGGAUGAGAGAUUUCAGGUAAGAGGCAAUACAGAUAUUAUGUAACUCAAUAUUUUCCUACGGUAGAUGGCCAAAUAAAAGGAAAGAGAAGUGGAUCUUCUCUCUUUGGAACAAUUCUAAAGGAAGGCAUGUAGAGGGUACCCUCUCAUUUCUGGGGCUCUGAUGCACGCAAAAACUUGAAAGCCACUUGAGCGUGGACCCCUUUGUCUUCAGCAUAAGAAGGGCAAAAUUGGGACUGCAAGAGCGAAAGUGAAAGAGGGAACAUCUGCUUCCCUCUCAAUGCUCUCGCUGUUGGAUUUCACUCUGGGCUGGCUGUCGUCCUCACUCAGAGUGGGCCAUGCACUUCUCAGACCACUUAAGUAUGACAGUGAUGAGGGAAAGCAUGCUAUUAGUAAUCACUUGUUUUGUGUUCGUGCAAAUCAAGAAAUGUUGGAUAAAACCUCUCUUUUUACUCAGUUCUGGACAAUUUCAAAUUGAAACAUAUUUUUACCAUCAUGAAGAGCGGGCUGGACAUCUUAAUAAUCGACCGAAUUUAUUUAUUAUUAGUCUCUCACUACGGCAAUGUGGUGAAGUGGCCGGCAGCCCAGCACUACUCAUUUUUCCCUUUCUUCGAGGAAGUAGCACAAUGAUGGGUAACAGACAUGGCUGUAGAAAGCUUUCCUUUCUAAAAUUCCUGUGACUACAUUGAAUUGUAUGCCAAAUAUAUACAUAUGUGUAACAAAAAAAUGUGAGAAGCGUGUAUUUUUCUAGUCUCAUUUGAUUGCAUCAACACGGAGUUCAUAUUGGCUUUUGCAACAAUAGCUAAUGAGCCAUAUGUGGAAAAAUCCAGAUGUUUAGAGAGUAUGCUCCUCUGAUCUAUUAUACGAAUGUCCAUUUACGACAAUGUCUCAUAUUGUAUGGAAAGGAGAAAGCUGCAUCAUCAAUAAAGAAAUACAAUUGAA